UUUCCAGCCAUUAAGGGCCAGAGUCCUGCAACUUUCAGAUAUGUUCCUGGUCCAACACACAAAUGGCUGAAUUACCUCCUCAGCAUGCAGUCAAGUUUGGUCAGUCCUGCUAAUGACUUGAUGGUUUGACUCAGGUGUGUUGAAAUAGAGAUGCUUUUCAAAAGAAGGGAGCAACAGGUCCUUGAUGGAACCCCAGACAUUCUUCUCCUCCAGGUCAUUCUGAAGGAUCCCAAGGCGUUUCCAGGCAUUCUUUGUCCUUCCAGCAAGUUCUGAGUCUCCCCCCAGGGAGGCACCCUGCAAGCUUCUUGAUCAGAAGCCCAAGCCACUUCAACUUACGCUAAAUCCAGUCACCCUGCAGAGGAAGCUCAUUUCGGCCACUUGUAUUUCUGUCACGAUCCAUGUCUCCUGGUCAUAGGUGAGUAUCAAAAUGGAGACAAACCAUUAAAUGAAGAACGUUACUUUUUUUGGCUCGGCUCUUUCUUCAAGAGACAAGAGAAGCACUCGUAUUACUGCAAACAUUGCUCCAAUCUAUCUAUCAUUCUUCCAUUCAAUCCUACCAUUACUCACAAAUUAGAAACCAAGAUACCUAAUCUCCUCUAUUUGAGACAGAAACUGACCUCUUGCUCAUUGCGGGUAGCACAUCUUUUUUUGGUCAAGAACUAUGACCUCAGACUUAGACAAGCUGACUCCCAUCCCAGCCGCUUUAUACACUACAGCACAUACUGGAUGUAAUGGUCUGAGA